CAAAAGUGAAAGACGGUCUUGCUGUCACUUAUAGAUGGAUCCGCGCUGCAUUAGCUAGUUGGUAAGGUAACGGCUUACCAAGGCAACGAUGCAUAGCCGACCUGAGAGGGUGAUCGGCCACACUGGAACUGAGACACGGUCCAGACUCCUACGGGAGGCAGCAGUAGGGAAUCUUCCGCAAUGGGCGAAAGCCUGACGGAGCAACGCCGCGUGAGUGAUGAAGGUCUUCGGAUCGUAAAACUCUGUUAUUAGGGAAGAACAUAUGUGUAAGUAACUGUGCACAUCUUGACGGUACCUAAUCAGAAAGCCACGGCUAACUACGUGCCAGCAGCCGCGGUAAUACGUAGGUGGCAAGCGUUAUCCGGAAUUAUUGGGCGUAAAGCGCGCGUAGGCGGUUUUUUAAGUCUGAUGUGAAAGCCCACGGCUCAACCGUGGAGGGUCAUUGGAAACUGGAAAACUUGAGUGCAGAAGAGGAAAGUGGAAUUCCAUGUGUAGCGGUGAAAUGCGCAGAGAUAUGGAGGAACACCAGUGGCGAAGGCGACUUUCUGGUCUGUAACUGACGCUGAUGUGCGAAAGCGUGGGGAUCAAACAGGAUUAGAUACCCUGGUAGUCCACGCCGUAAACGAUGAGUGCUAAGUGUUAGGGGGUUUCCGCCCCUUAGUGCUGCAGCUAACGCAUUAAGCA
rnacentral:rRNA from 1 species